rnacentral:antisense_RNA from 1 species
CAUAGUUGAAGAUAGCACCUGGGUUUAGUGUUGGGUUUGUUACAACACGAACGUCACCACCACCUGGUGCCCAUGUAUCGUAAAGACCACCAAGGAACAUCGCUUUAGUUACAAGAAGGAAUGAUCCAAUACCUAGAAGGAUAAGGUGAAUCCCUAGGAUUGUAGUCAUCUUGUUUUUAUCACGCCA